UUACCGAUAACUGUCAGCCAAACCGUCCCCUGGUACUUUUUUUUGUUAUUAAUCGUGAUUUAUUUAUUAAAAAGUGGACUUGGAAAGUGUUAAGACUGUGUAUAAACAGCGAGUUAUAUCAGUAUCCAAGAUAAAUAUUCGCAAUUGCGUAAAUCCAGUUUAAUACUAUGGCGAUAUGGAAUGUACGAAAGAUUCUCAUAUUAGGCAUUAAUAUGCCUCUGUUUGAUGAAAAAUGAACACAGAAGACCCAAGAGAGGAAUACCAAUACCGCUAUUAUUAUGCAUUCUAGCAGCACUUCGAUUCUAUGUAACGGGAUGUUUCCAGACUGUAGGUGCAGUCCAUCAAGCAUUCUAAUAAAUAACAGAAAUGCCACAAGUCAAGCUGUAUCGAUGGCACACAUAGGUAUAUAUAUAAACAACCCCGGAGGACCCUAUGCACAGAUUUAAAGAAACCGGCUAUCAUGGCAGGGAAUAGCAGUGAUGAGCUCUGAGAAUACUUUAGUCCUUGAAAAUCCGAGUUUUCAGAUCACAGUAAUUGGAAGACCCACAUACCUUGAAAAGUCAGCAGCAUUUAAUAUCGAGGUAGUAGGAGUGAGUGCAGUGUAUUGUAAGGUGGUCACUCACUCUGAAAUCCAUAACAAUAGAAAAUAUAUACAAAUCUUAACUGAAUGAAUGAUGGAAAAUAAAAAUUUAUUGAUUCACAUUUUUAAUAAAGAUAAUUAUUAAAUGUUUA